rnacentral:rRNA from 1 species
CCUACGGGAGGCAGCAGUGGGGAAUAUUGCGCAAUGGGCGAAAGCCUGACGCAGCGACGCCGCGUGAGGGAUGAAGGUCUUCGGAUCGUAAACCUCUGUCAGCAGGGAAGUACGGUCACUGUGCUAAUCAGCAGUGAAUUGACGGUACCUGCAAAGGAAGCACCGGCUAACUCCGUGCCAGCAGCCGCGGUAAUACGGAGGGUGCGAGCGUUAAUCGGAAUUACUGGGCGUAAAGCGCUCGUAGGCGGUAUGUCAAGUCAAGGGUGAAAUCCCCGCGCUCAACGUGGGAACUGCCUUUGAAACUGGCAGACUGGAGUGUGUGAGAGGAUAGUGGAAUUCCAGGUGUAGGAGUGAAAUCCGUAGAUAUCAGGAGGAACAUCAGUGGCGAAGGCGACUAUCUGGCACAUAACUGACGCUGAGGAGCGAAAGCGUGGGUAGCAAACAGGAUUAGAUACCCUUGUAGUC